GGGGGUUGAUUUUAAGCAACAUAUUUUCCAAACUGGUUUUUUUUUUUUUUUUUUAAUGUAAGUCUAAUUCUUUUUUUUUUUUUUUUCAGGGCCUGAACGAGGGACACACAGGGCAGCCAAAGACAUCAGCAACAUCUGCCAGCCACCUCUGGAAGGCAGGAGCAUCGCUGAGGGCUGGACGGAGGCUCCUCCAUCGGUGGAGCCCUCAGCCGCAGACAGGAUUUUGUUUGACAGAUCUUGGAUACUGCUUCUCCUCUUCCAAAAACCACUUGCACCUGCCAUUCCUAUCUCAGGAAGUGCCUCGGAGUCAUGAAAACAGCCACCUCACACACAGCUUCAGAGAGAAACAUUUCUACAAUUUCCUAACCUGAUUUACACAAACUUUCUUGACAGUACUGGGAUGGGACAGUGUACUUUCUGCAGACCCCUAAUAGUUCAAGUUUCUUGAAAAGAACAGGAAACAGCUCACAUUCUUCUCAACACCUUUCCCUUCAUGUGUCCUCAAAGAAGAAGUUUGUGGUUGAACUGGCUUCCAUCAGCUGUGGGGAUGCCAAAAUCCCCUGGGGAAAAUUCCUUUUAAAAAAUAAAGCAGCGUGAAAUACAAGGAAACA
rnacentral:lncRNA from 1 species